UAGGGAAUCUUCGGCAAUGGGGGGAACCCUGACCGAGCAACGCCGCGUGAGUGAAGAAGGUUUUCGGAUCGUAAAGCUCUGUUGUUAAGGAAGAACGAGUGUGAGAAUGGAAAGUUCAUACUGUGACGGUACUUAACCAGAAAGGGACGGCUAACUACGUGCUAGCAGCCGCGGUAAUACGUAGGUCCCGAGCGUUGUCCGGAUUUAUUGGGCGUAAAGCGAGCGCAGGCGGUCAAUUAAGUCUGAUGUGAAAGCCCCCGGCUCAACCGGGGAGGGUCAUUGGAAACUGGUUGACUUGAGUGCAGAAGAGGGGAGUGGAAUUCCAUGUGUAGCGGUGAAAUGCGUAGAUAUAUGGAGGAACACCAGUGGCGAAGGCGACUCUCUGGUCUGUAACUGACGCUGAGGCUCGAAAGCGUGGGUAGCAAACAGG
rnacentral:rRNA from 1 species